GAUUUUGCCGCCAUUGGCAAGUGUCUCGUGAAUGGAAGGAGUGGACAGAUCGAGAGUGUGGAUCCGUCCAGCAUCAGAAGUCAUUCACAGAAUUUCUUCAUUUCUAAAUGUAAUUAGAAUUCGAGUGAAGACGUCCCCAUCUAAAAAGAGCCGAGCAGGGACCCAGGGGUGCCUACAGAGGGCCAUACAGCCGGGUCCACAAACUCUCUGUUCUCCCAGCCCAGCAACAGCAGCCUAGGUGUUCCGCACAGCACAGAGACCGAGAGAGGGAGGAAGAGCCCAAUGGUCGGACAAAAGUCAAAAGAUUUGUCCCCAACACAAACCGUCUAUAAAUUAUAGAAUCCAGACAAAAUUAGACAUUACCAGAGGCCCUUGAAGUCCUAAAGCUGAGAGCUGAGCUACAGGCAGAAAAAUACAAAAAAAAAGUGCUGCUGGACACCAUGACCACCUUGAAAAGCCAGCUGGCAUCCCUAAGAGGGUCUGACCAGCAGUAGGCUACGUGCUGGAAUCAGGCAGGGACUCGAGCAGCAAGGGGGAAUCAACCAGGGGACUCGUCAUUCCUGUCUCUGAGGAGGAACAUUUCCCAAAGAAGUGAAGAGCCUGAGGGUUUCAAUGGAUCCAACAAAUUGCUGGCAGAUAUUUUCCCUGUAGGCUUUGGAGCGAGUAGUCGUGCUGCACUUCGCUCCGCAGGCCAUACAAACGCUUCACACCGCGUGGCCGCUGCCACUCUAACCUGGUGGUCCCAGCGCGCACGACCCACGUGGAGUUCCAGGUCUCCGGCCAACAAGGCAGAGUUCAUCUCAGCCUAUGCUACCCUCCAGUCCCUCGACUUCUUGGCGCUGACGGAAACAUGGAUUACCACAGAUAACACUGCUACUCCUACUGCUCUCUCCUCGUCUGCCCACUUGUUCUCGCAUACCCCGAGAGCAUCUGGCCAGCGGGGUGGUGGCACUGGAAUCCUCAUCUCUCCCAAGUGGACAUUCUCUCUUCCUCCCCUGACCCAUCUGUCUAUCGCCUGCUUUGAAUUCCAUGCUGUCAGUUACCAGCCCUUUCAAGCUUAACAUCCUUAUCAUUUAUCGCCCUCCAGGUUCCCUUGGAGAGUUCAUCAAUGAGCUUGACGCCUUGAUAAGUUCCUUUCCUGAGGAUGGCUCACCCCUCACAGGUCUGGGUGACUUUAACCUCCCCACGUCUACCUUUGACUCAUUCCUCUCUGCCUCCUUCUUUCCACUCCUCUCCUCUUUUGACCUCACUCUCUCACCUUCCCCCCUACUCACAAGGCAGGCAAUACGCUUGACCUCAUCUUUACUAGAUGCUGUUCUUCCACUAAUCUCAUUGCAACUCCCCUCCAAGUCUCCGAUCACUACCUUGUAUCCUUUUCCCUCUCGCUCUCAUCCAACACUUCUCACUCUGCCCCUACUCGGAUGGUAUUGCGCCGUCGCAACCUUCGCUCUCUCUCUCCCGCUACUCUCUCCUCUUCCAUCCUAUCAUCUCUUCCCUCUGCUCAAACCUUCUCCAACCAACCAAUCUCCUGAUUCUGCCUCCUCAACCCUCCUCUCCUCCCUUUCUGCAUCCUUUGACUCUCUAUGUCCCCUAUCCUCCAGGCUGGCUCAGUCCUCCCCUCCUGCUCCGUGGCUCGACGACUCAUUGCGAGCUCACAGAACAGGGCUCCGGGCAGCCGAGCGGAAAUGGAGGAAAACUCGCCUCCCUGCGGACCUGGCAUCCUUUCACUCCCUCCUCUCUACAUUUUCCUCUUCUGUCUCUGCUGCUAAAGCCACUUUCUACCACUUUAAAUUCCAAGCACCCUAGGAAGCUCUUUGCCACCUUCUCCUCCCUCCUGAAUCUUCCUCCCUCUCUGCGGAUGACUUCGUCAACCAUUUUGAAAAGAAGGUCGACGACAUCCGAUCCUCGUUUGUUAAGUCAAACGACACCGCUGGUCCUGCUCACACUGCCCUACCCUGUGCUCUGACCUCUUUCUCCCCUCUCUCUCCAGAUGAAAUCUCGUGUCUUGUGACGGCCGGCCGCCCAACAACCUGCCCGCUUGACCCUAUCCCCUCCUGUUCUCCAGACCAUUUCCGGAGACCUUCUCCCUUACCUCACCUCGCUCAUCAACUCAUCCUUGACCGCUGGCUACGUCCCUUCCGUCUUCAAGAGAGCGAGAGUUGCACCCCUUCUGAGAGAAUCUACUCGAUCCCUCCGAUGUCAACAACUACAGACCAGUAUCCCUUUUUUUUCUCUCAAACUCUUGAACGUGCCGUUCUUGGCCAGCUCUCCUGCUAUCUCUCUCAGAAUGACCUUCUUGAUCCAAAUCAGUCAGGUUUCAAGACUGGGCAUUCAACUGAGACUGCUCUUCUCUGUGUCACGGAGGCUCUCCGCACUGCUAAAGCUAACUCUCUCUCCUCUGCUCUCAUCCUUCUAGACCUAUCUGCUGCCUUUGACACUGAACCAUCAGAUCCUCCUCUCCACCCUCUCCGAGUUGGGCAUCUCCGGCGCGGCCCACGCUUGGAUUGCGUCCUACCUGACAGGUCGCUCCUACCAGGUGGCGUGGCGAGAAUCUGUCUCCGCACCACGUGCUCUCACCACUGGUGUCUCCCAGGGCUCUGUUCUAGGCCCGCUCCUAUUCUCGCUAUACACCAAGUCACUUGGCUCUGUCAUAUCCUCACAUGGCCUCUCCUAUCAUUGCUACGCAGACGACACACAAUUAAUCUUCUCCUUUCCCCCUUCUGAUAACCAGGUGGCGAAUCGCAUCUCUGCAUGUCUGGCAGACAUAUCAGUGUGGAUGACGGAUCACCACCUCAAGCUGAACCUCGGCAAGACGGAGCUGCUCUUCCUCCCGGGGAAGGACUGCCCGUUCCAUGAUCUCGCCAUCACGGUUGACAACUCCAUUGUGUCCUCCUCCCAGAGUGCUAAGAACCUUGGCGUGACCCUACUCACGAUAAACAUUCACAAAAAGCAUAACAAUUAUUUUAAGAAUUAUAGAUACAGAACUCCUCUAUGCACUCGAUAUGUCCGAUUUUAAAAUAGCUUUUUGGUGAAAGCACAUUUUGCAAUAUUCUAAAUACAUAGCCCAGCCAUCACGGGCUAGCUAUUUAGACACCCAGCAAGUUUAGCCUUCACCAAAAUCAGAUUUACUAUAUCAAAAAUGUUAUUACCUUUGGUAUUCUUCGUCAGAAUGCACUCCCAGGACUUCUACUUCAAUAACAAAUGUUGGUUUGGUCCCAAAUAAUCCAUCGUUAUAUCCAAAUAGCGGCGUUUUGUUCGUGCGUUCUAGACACUAUCCGAAAUGGUAAAUCAGGGUUACGAGCAUGGCGCAAUUCGUGACAAAACAUUUCUAAAUAUUCCAUUACCGUACUUCGAAGCAUGUCAACCGCUGUUUAAAAUCAAUUUUUAUGCAAUUUAUCUCGUAAAAAAAGCGAUAAUAUUCCGACCGGGAAUCUGCGUUUCGGUAAACAGAGGAAAAAACAGAAAGCGGGGGCGGCCAGUGCACGCGCCUAAGCCCACUGUCCCCUGAUCGGCCACUUGAGAAAGGCGAUAAUGUGUUUCAGCCUGGGGCUGGAAUGACGACAUUCAGCUUUUUCCCGGGCUCUGAGAGCCUAUUGGAGCCGUGGGAAGUGUCACGUUACCGCAGAGAUCCUUUGUUUUGGAAAGAGAUGUCAAAGAAAGCCAAUAAAUGGUCAGACAGGCCACUUCCUGUAAAGGAAUCUCUCAGGUUUUUGCCUGCCAUAUGAGUUCUGUUAUACUCAGACACCAUUCAAACAGCUUUAGAAACUUUAGGGUGUUUUCUAUCCAUAUCUAAUAAGUAUAUGCAUAUUCUAGUUACUGGGUAGGAGUAGUAACCAGAUUAAAUCGGGUACGUUUUUUUAUCCGGUGGUGUAAAUACUAGCCCUAAGAGGUUAAACCCCUACAACUCAUCCAGAACGCCGCAGCCCGUCUGGUGUUCAACCUUCCCAAGUUCUCUCACGUCACCCCGCUCCUCCGCUCUCUCCACUGGCUUCCAGUUGAAGCUCGCAUCCGCUACAAGACCAUGGUGCUUGCCUACGGAGCUGUGAGGGGAACGGCACCUCCGUACCUUCAGGCUCUGAUCAGGCCCUACACCCAAACAAGGGCACUGCGUUCAUCCACCUCUGGCCUGCUGGCCCCCCUACCUCUGAGGAAGCUCAGUUCCCGCUCAGCCCAGUCAAAACUGUUCACUGCUCUGGCACCCCUAUGGUGGAACAAGCUCGCUCACGACGCCAGGACAGCGGAGUCAAUCACCACCUUCCGGAGACACCUGAAACCCCACCUCUUUAAGGAAUACCUGGGAUAGGAUUAAGUAAUCCUUCUAACCUCCCCCCCCAAAAAAAAAGAUAUAGAUGUACUAUUGUAAAGUGGUUGUUCCACUGGAUUUCAUAAGGUGAAUACACCAAUUUGUAAAUCGCUCUGGAUAAGAGCGUCUGCUAAAUGACUUAAAUGUAAAUGUUUAUGUACAUUACAGAUAACUACGCCGUUCAGUCUCUCUUGGCCCAUGCUGGUCCGUAGCCAAGUCUUUAACCUACGGAGUGCAAUGAAACUCCUCAGCCUCAUAUGAAGACACUGGUACAACAAACAAAAUUCUGAUCAGCACCUCAACUUGGUCAACCAACCCCUGCACGUCCACUGGAAGCCUCUGAGGACCUCAACUGCCUCUCCACUGCUGCUACAGUGGUAUUUGUUGCAAAAGAGAGGCAACUGCACUGAAAGAGAAUCUAUGUUCAACUCAGGGUAUUGAUCUAGAGACUCAUCCAACUCCCCCGUGAGAAGCGCUCUUUCCAACUUUUGCAGGAGGUUUAGACUGUCCUGGUCAAAAUGGUCGCCAAACUGAACCCCCACCAUCCAACGCUUAAAAAUAAUUCUGCCCUAUAGUGAUCUUUUUUGUUAUUGUUAUUUUUUAAUUAACAGUAACAUGCAAAACAUAAACAUAACAGCCAGAGGGAUUCCACAAAGAAAUGAGAAUUAAAAAAAAAUAAUAAUAAUAUUCCACAUCGAUUCAAAUACAGACAUAUAGCGAAUAAAUUUUUUUACAUUUUGUUUUGUAUACGUUUUAAAGACUAAAUAGUUUUCCAAAUCAGAUAAAAAAAAUUAAGGAAAGGGUUCACAAACUGCAUUCACUGCUAACAUCAGGUAUAUAUUUAGAAAUCAAGCUAUUACACGGAUAGAAUCUAUGGAUAAUCUUAAAGGAGAUCUCCUUUACUUUAUUGUUCACCAUAAAUUUGUGUGGAGUGAGCCAAGCACGGCACCAGUUUACAUCAAACAAUGAAGCCCAACAAAAUAUUGCAGAGGGAAUUGACUUCCUGUAGAAAAUAACCCUUAACAUAAGAUUGUUGAAUUUCGUAUCUAGUAGACCAAUGCCAUUCACCUGGAUAUCGCUUACAAUCGGAGAUAUUCCAAAAUAUGCAUUAUUCUGAAGUAAAGUUUUUAUCCCACUAGGUAUAGCUUUAAUAACAGUGUCAUAUUCCUUGCUUGAAACUUCAGUUGUAUCUUUCCAUAAAGCUUUUCAAUAGAUUCCAACUAAUAUUAACUAAUUGGCUGGCAAGUACAAUGUUUUUCCAGAACCAUUUAUGGUUAAAUAACAUCUUGUUUCUAUGUAAUAUCGACCCAUUGUUCCAUAUAAAUCACUUAUGAGGUGAAAAGUUGUGUUUAUACAACAAAGCCCAGCACAUUAAAGCCUGCUUGUGAAAAGCCGCCAGUUUCACAGGAAGUUUACCCACAAUAUAUGGACAUUGUAGUAAAAAAUUAAGCCCUCCAAACUUCUGAAAAACAAAAUGAGGUAUAAUAUUCCAGAAACUGAGGAUUUUUUUAUGUACCUUUUUAAUCCAGUUGACCUUUGAUAUCUGAUUUGAAGAGAGUGAAGUCUAAGACAUUUAGACCGCCAUCACAAACCCUGCUGGUGAUAAAAUCUCUAUCUUAUGUGGCAUGUUUUCCCAUGUGAAGUUGUACAAAAGCCUAUCUAAAGUACAGCAAGUGGAUUUGGGAAUGUCAAUCGAUUAAAAAAGAAAGCCCCUCAGCUUUGGAUAAAAGCACCCUUUCUUGAAGACUUAAAUCCCUCCCUAACCAUGAGGAGGAUUUUUUGGGGGGGACAGAUUCAGUUACAGGGUUCAAAUUAAGAUCAUUCACAGCCUUAAGAUUUUUGGUGAUCUUUACGCCGAGGUAGGUUACAGUAUCUUUUUCAGAGAUGUUACAAUCUGCUGGAUUGACAGCUCCUUUUAAAACAAACAUCUCACAUUUGGAAAGAUUUAAUGCCAAACCUGAGAUUUUGGAGAACUGCUUCACGAUAUCCAAAGCUAAUCUAGCUUGUGACACAUUUUUCAAAAAAAGUGAGCUGUAAUCUGCCAGUUGGGAUAUCUUGAUCUCUCUGGCCUGGAAUGUAAUGCCUUCAAAUUGACUUUAUGAACUAAUGAGCAUAAUAUUUGAGAUGCUAACAAAAAUAAAAAAGGUGAAAUUGGACAACCUUGUCAUAUUCCUUUGUAAAUGUUAAACCUUGAGGAUGUUCCAUGACAGAGUUUGAUACAGCUAUUGUCACCAUUAUACAGAGUUCUAAUAGCAUCAACAAAAAAACAACCACAUUUCAAAUGCUUAAGACAAUCAAAGAUAAAAUUGUGACUUACUGUAUCAAAUGCUUUCUGAAAAUCCCAAAAUAGGAUAACAGGGAAGUCAUCCAAUAGAUCACAAUACUCAACCAAGUCUAACACCAGCCUCGGAUUAUUAGAUAUAUGGCGCCCUUUUAUAAACCCUGAUUGAAUGUCAAUCAGAUCAUUCAAGCAAGACUUUAACCUUUUUGCAAAGAUUAAGGCUAUAAUUUAGGAGUGUGAUUGGAUGCCAAUUAUCAACAUUUAAGAGAUCCUUGUGUGGUUUAGGUAUAAGAGUAAUAACCCCUUGCUUCAGAGAGGCAGGUAGUUCUCCCUUCUUUAUAGCCUCCUUAAAGGUUUCAAGUAAAAAUGGUGCUAUUUCUUCAGAGAAGGUUUUGUAAAAUUCAGAGGUUAAUCCAUCACAACCUGGAGAUUUGUUAUUUUUUUAACUGAGCAACCUCGUACUGGAUGUCCAUAAUGGAUAAAUCUUGACAACAAGACCAAUUGAAUUCUUCACUAACCGAAUUAACAUUCUCUAUAGAAUCAAGGAGAUCCUUAGUCACUCAAAUUAUCUAAGGAGUAAAGAUUCUCAUAAAACUCAGUGGUAAAGUCUAACAACUCUCUAUCCUCAGUGGUAACCACAUUAAUCUUAAGUUCCAAAGUGUGUUGAGUUCCCCUCUCCUCUUUUCCAAAUUAAAAAAGUAUCUACUGUCCAUGUGGUUGAUGACCGCUACUAGCCAAUAGCCAAUGUCCAUUGGAGUCCAUUUGAGUAAACCAAAAUUUCCCUUUGAAAUGGUGUGCUAAAAUUGCAACCCCAGCUGAAUGAUUAGUCCCGUGGGCCAAAAAAAUGACAUUGCCCCACUGAUUUUUUUCCAAUAAUUAUAGUCCUCUUUGCAUGAAUGUGUUUCUUUUACGAAUACAAGAUCUGCGUUUCAGUCCUUACAAAAAAAAGCUUUUCUCUUCAACAGGUUUCGUAUCCCCCUGGCAUUGAUUGACAUAAACUUCAAGUCCAUAUCUGUAGAAUAGAAAGAAAAAUCCUAUGCAAUCUCAACUCUACCCUCUCUAUAAAAAGUUGCUUCAUAUAUGUAUUAACAGAAGUCUUAACUUGUAAACAGUAACACCAUAAUUCAAAACUAGAACGCUGAGUUUGCAGUGGGGAAGGAGCUACCUUGUAAACAUACCGACAGAACAAAUCACUCCGGUCGUAUUUCUUUUCCGUCGGCGAAAAAGGCUCUGAUUCACCUGUAGUAUCCACCCUUUCCUUGAUUUCGGGCCUGUUGUACAAGAGGCCACAAUUUUGCCUUUGCUGCCUUGUCUGCUGCAGUCAAGUCCUCACCAAAUCUAAAUGUUCUCUCUUUCAGAAAGGCGCUUUCCUUUGCUUUCUUCCAAACUGUAUCUCUCGCUGUGCGAAAAGCAAACUGGAUGAUGAUCGAGCGGCUGACGAUGGCAUCUUGUUUCUUCCCAAUACGAAUUUCAGCCGAAGUUUUUUCCCCCUAUAGUGAUCCACUGCUUUGCCAGCAAAUCGUCUUGAGUGUGUCUCAAUGGAUUCAAUGGAGUCAAUCAAUGUUGUUGCUUUCUCAUACAGUGCAAGGUAGCUUUCGUCAUUUCUGCUGUUUACCCCACGCGCUGGAUAACUGGGCACUUUGUUUGAACUACUUACUGGAUAUCAGCCACCAACUACAGACACUGUCAGAUUCCCACACAUGCACAUCAGUGUUGCCAACUCCUCCGUAAGGAAAGUAGCUUUUGGCUGUCCUAGAAGUUGCUAAAUGAUGCCAUCAUCUAAUUUGCAUAAUUGGCCAUGUGCAUGUAAUUGUGAUGGACGCUGUAGGAGUGAGGAAUAACGUCCUGGGAGAGACAAAGUGAGUAAAAAAACACCCUAAAUAUGUUUAGAACUACAAAUGAACUUCUGUUGAUUCUUGUUUUUUUUUUUAUGUCACAAUUACCGGUCCCAAGUCCGGAUAAAGGAGGAGGGUUGGAAAAGUGACCCAAAAGAGACAGUGGGGGAGUUAAAGUUUUUUUUUUUUUGUUAUUUUUUUUGUUUUAGUUUUCUUAAUUUAGUUUGGUUUUUAACCUUCACUUAGGCUCCACUUAGGAGCCUAUAACAAGUCACAAUAAAACAUGAACAUUUUUAACCAUAACAUUAUUUUGUAUACAAUCUAAAUGGACCAAAAAGAGACAAUAGAAAAAACUGUCAAUGGCAAUGUGAGAAUUAUGGUAACUAGUCUGGCCCCAGUUCAGGUUGAAACAUUUUUUAUGUAAGCCAGGGCGGGAUCUGCCAGCAGCGGCUUCCCGCAUGUGCAAUUAAUUUGCAGUCUGAACGCGAGGGGUGAACAUCUCCUGCUCUCACUGCAGUGCGAGGGCUGUGAGUGCUUUGGGGUGGAGGUGGGGCCCGCAGCAGCACACGCAGCUCGUUGAGAAGAGUAAGAAUGAUACGUGCUUUCACGUCAGACUCCAAAAGUCUCCAAUAACACCAGAAAAAGUCGCUAGAUUUGUCGAUAGUCGCUUUUUUGAAGAUUUGUCACUAGAGGGGUCUGAAUACUCGCUAAAUAUAGCGACAAAGUCGCUAAGUUGCCGACACUGUGCACAGUACCUGCAUCGUGUGUGACUUCUGAGGGCUGGGAGGCAGUGGAUCAAACCAUUGGGACCCCCCUUAGCCUUACAAUCAUUUGAAACUUAAAAACGAGCUAUUAAGUGUCUAUAAUCAGCACAAGUGCUUUCAUUGCACAUUAUUAAUAUUAUUGAAAUCACAGUUAUGUUUCCAGUGAUAUAUUGGGGGGGACAAAUCAUAUUUUUCCCAGGAUGGGGGGGACGUCCCCCCUGGGAUUUCCGCCUAUGUAUGUUCCCUAAUUAGUGCACUUGGCUAAAGUAGUGUAGUAGGAAAUAUGGUGUCAUUUGGGACCAAUACUCAACAUAGUAUUAGUCCGGACUGAAUAUGUAAUAUUGCUGUCUGGACAAUGUAAACUCGGUAAACGUACCGUCCUGAACCGUGACACGGUCCAUGCUUCCCAAGGUGGCCUGAGCAUCCUCACCGACGCUGUAAUACUUCUAUGCAAGUCGACUGCUGAACCGCUCUCAAGCAUCAGGCCAGCUGCACACACAAGCGGCCGCUGGCGAAUCAAUCUCAGCGGGCUCGCUGUCAAAAAGCCUACUCCUUAUCGCCAUUUGUCAACUGACUACAGUGAUUUUGACCGAGUUCAAAAUAUCUGACACUGAUUUCUUAGAAUUACAGGGUUUUAUACGGAAUCUUACGUCAUGGUUGUCUGUCACAAUGGAUGAACGUUUACUAAACUGAUAAAAGUUCAACAGUGACGUCAAUUAAAUUGUAUUUUGGUGUGAUCUGGGAGUUUAUAAAAUUGUAAACUAUUAACCAUGGUUGAGGGAACAGUAUCCUAAGAGUCAUAAAUGUAUUUAUGUAACAAUCUUCAAAAUUAUAUUACAUUUGAUGUUUUGGUGCCUUUAGACUUAAGGCAAUUCAGAAAGCUGAUAGAGAACCUUAUUCCUGAUUUAAUGUGUCUUUUUUAUGACUGUGUCCAUGUUUUUUUUCUGCGUGCCUUUUGAUGUGUGUAUUUCUGUAAUUCAGGGCUCAUCUGUGUGUAAAAGAGACAUUGGCCUCAGUAUGACUCCCUGAUGACAUAAAAGUAAAUAAAUCUAGGGCUCUGAAUCAAUAAAGAUAUUUAACUUCACCCAGAGGCCAAAUCUGAAGGGACUAGUACAGAAAACACACAGAUUACAUCACAUACAUAGUUAUACACUGCUCAAAAAAAUAAAGGGACCACUUAAACAACACAAUGUAACUCCAAGUCAAUCACACUUCUGUGAAAUCAAACUGUCCACUUAGGAAGCAACACUGAUUGACAAAUUUCACAUGCUGUUGUGCAAAUGGAAUAGACAACAGGUGGAAAUUAUAGGCAAUUAGCAAGACACCCCCAAUAAAGGAGUGGUUCUGCAGGUGGUGACCACAGACCACUUCUCAGUUCCUAUGCUUCCUGGCUGAUGUUUUGGUCACUUUUGAAAUGCUGGCGGUGCUUUCACUCUAGUGGUAGCAUGAGACUGAGUCUACAACCCACACAAGUGGCUCAGGUAGCGCAGCUCAUCCAGGAUGGCACAUCAAUGCGAGCUGUGGCAAGGUUUGCUGUGUCUGUCAGCGUAGUGUCCAGAGCAUGGAGGCGCUACCAGGAGACAGGCCAGUACAUCAGGAGACGUGGAGGAGGCCGUAGGAGGGCAAUAACCCAGCAGCAGGACCGCUACCUCUGCCUUUGUGCAAGGAGGAGCACUGCCAGAGCCCUGCAAAAGGACCUCCAGCAGGCCACAAAUGUGCAUGUGUCUGCUCAAACGGUCAGAAACAGACUCCAUGAGGGCCCGAUGUCCACAGGUGGGGGUUGUGCUUACAGCCCAACACCGUGCAGGACGUUUGGCAUUUGCCAGAGAACACCAAGAUUGGCAAAUUCGCCACUGGCGCCCUGUGCUCUUCACAGAUGAAAGCAGGUUCACACUGAGCACAUGUGACAGACGUGAGAGAGUCUGGAGACGCCGUGGAGAACGUUCUGCUGCCUGCAACAUCCUCCAGCAUGACCGAUUUGGCGGUGGGUCAGUCAUGGUGUGGGGUGGCAUUUCUUUGCGGUCCGCACAGCCCUCCCAUGUGCUCGCCAGAGGUAGCGUGACUGCCAUUAGGUACUGAGAUGAGAUCCUCAGACCCCUUGUGAGACCAUAUGCUGGUGCGGUUGGCCCUGGGUUCCUCCUAAUGCAAGACAAUGCUAGACCUCAUGUGGCUGGAGUGUAUCAGCAGUUCCUGCAAGAGGCAACACUCUAACCACUAGGUUCCCUGUCGCCCCCGAGCUGAUAUGUAUAAAUAUAUAUUUACCAAAAUAUAUAUGGGGGAUUGGAAACGAUGCAAACAAUUACAUUGAUGUUAGAUACAAUCUAUCUGCAAUAUUAAAGCUGAUCUACCCCCUAAAUAAAAUAAAUCCUUUUAUUUUUAAAUUGUCCAUCUGCAGUGUUUCCAGGAAGAUCAGAGGAAAAUUCAUGUUGUAGAAUUAUCACUGAUUGAUUGAAAACUUGAAGAAAUAUAUAAAGACCAUCCAAUCAUCACAUUCAUUGCAAAGACUGUACAGCAGGACUUUAAUUCAGACAUGUAUUAGAAAUGAAAUGCCAUUAGCUGGCCUCAGAAACUCUUUGUAACAAGCAGAACAGUCAGUGAUCAGACAGAUACUAAGGCUGCAUGCAUAGAUGUGACCCAGACACUCAUUGUGUUGUCUGUUGGUCCUAGAUAGCCAUUUGAUUUGAAUAGUACUUACAGUAAAUGAGGUUAGCAACUGCUGUGACUGGGCAGGCAGACUGUUGUCCUAUUAAAGUCCAUUAGUUUCCCCGGAAACGGAAUAUCUUAAAACAGGAGGACAAAUCAAUUGAAAGUAGACCACAGAUUCUUAUCAUGCUGGAAGCAGGGAGUCCUGGCAAAGAAGCAGAUUAUAUAUAUAGCAGGUUAUAUUUUUAUUUUUAUCUCUUUGGAAGAUUUCAUAGGUGAUUUUUGUAAAAUGUAAGCUUUUUUUUUUCAUAUAUCAUAUUUGAAUGGACUUUACUUAGGUCCAACAGCAUUGGACUGAAAUGCAUCUAGGCAGAGGUAGAGGAAAUAAUGUGAGAUACUGAAAUGUUACUAUGCAUAUCAUGCACAUUCAUACUGUGAUAAUGACAAAUACAUAGUAUAUCGCCCAGUUCUAAUGCAGAUGGCUUAUGUUGUAAAGCAAGGAUGAUGAUUCCAUGUCCUCAUAAAGAUCCCAACGUAAAUCAAUAUCUACAUCAUCAACUGACACUGAAUCAGUGUCCCCAUUAAGCUAUCAAAAUGAUAUCUCCUGGUAUUUUCAUUUGGCAAAAAUAAUUCAGAAUUCUUGAUUAGGCUUGCAAAAGAUUCUCAUUUUUCCUGGACUGUUUGGAAUUCCCAGGCCUCUGCAGAUCUUGGUGAGAUUAGGCCAGAGAGGGACACCAGGGGUGUAGAGGUUGGUUAGUAGGUCUUGGUGAGAUUAGGCCAGAGAGGGACACCAGGGGGUGUAGAGGUUGGUCAGUAGGUCUCGGUCAGAGUAGUGGUUGAAGACAUGCCGAAUGCGCCCUUGGGAUCGUGCGCCCUUGAGUUAAAUAAGUAGGUCAGAGACUGUAUGUGGGAAAUCACACUGGAAACUCGCUUGCGUAUCCCUUCAAGUUUGCAUGUCUAAUGGUCUAAUGGGUUUGCAAAUAAUGUCAAUUUUCCACACCCAUCAGUAACUGCCUGUUUUGCAUGGCAAAGGUUACAGAUACCGCAUCAACUUAUUUGCUCCUCUUCUGAUUUGAAUGGACCCUGGUAAAAUAAGUCAUGCUUCCUGUGUGAAACAGCCAUAAGAAGGAGACAUUAAAAUGAAAUAGAAGAAGUUGGCUACCAGUGCUCUCUAUGCAGUAACUCUUUCCAUUCCUCAAAAUGGCUUGGCCUCAAUCAUUCAGAUGACACACUCCUUCAAACAGUGAAGGUCUAAUUUCCUGGUGGGUCAAUGUAAGCUAAAGCUAACAGAGCUAAUAGUUAGCUGUCCAAGAAGCUCAAACACAAAGGCUUUCAAUUUGCAACAUGACCUUCUGUGUUGGCAUCCUUCUGGAGAAACUUGUUUCCAAGUGUUGGAAGUAGAAAUUAAAUCAUACACAAAAUAUAUUGGACAAUUAAAUGUGAAGUAGUGCCAAAAACAACAAGCAGUCAAUUAUUCUUGGACUGUGCUAGACAUGGACAUGGGAGAUGUUUGGCUGCCUUGAUUGGCUGAUGCCUAAUGAUUUUCAACAUCAAGUGACUGGAUUAGGCAUAGGGUUAGCCAAUAGCACAUUGGUAGACCAUACUUCAGGUCUCAAGAAGGCAGCAAUGCUAACUUAUUAUUUUGCUAUACAUACUGUAUCUAUUAUCUUUGGUAAGAUCAUGCCUAUGGGCACCCAGUUGCAUUGUCAAUGUUUGGAUAAACCUCAAAUGUGUAAACUUAGCUUUUAAACAAUGACUCAGCCUCUAAAUGUAGUUUUUUGCACCUAAUUUUUUCAUGGACAGUUCCACAAGUCAAUAUUUUCGGCUCGUCCCUUUUGAACUAUCUCUUCUUCAUAUUCAGACCUACAAAGGCUGAUUACCUGUGAUAUCUGCCACAAUCCCCCACCCCUCUACACAGGAUGUUUUGAUACAGAUUUAGGAUCUUAAUUUAAAUUUGAAUUAUGUUUUAGUCCCAUGCGUGGAGGUUGAACGCUUUGACACAUUGAAUGUGAAAGUGAGAGUGGUUCAGUGAGUGGACUCGGCCUAGAAAGAAUGUUCCUUUUCAGAACCAUGGAGAGCGCAUUAUGCAUUGUGGCGCAGCCCCUUUUUCUACUCCUAGUUAGAGCCAUAUGUAUUUGCUAAACUGCUCUACUUCACUGCUCUCUAAACCAUGGUUCAUAGUUCACAAUUUUAUAAACUCCCAAAUCAUCCCCAACAUUUAAUUUAAUUGAUACUGUUGAGUGUUUUUUAAUCAGUUUGGUAAACAUGUUCAUCCCAUUGUGACAUUGCCAACCACGACAAAUGGAAUCAUUUGACGUAUUAAUGGUUCCAUAUAAAACCCUUUAAUUCUAAGAAAGUGUCAUAUGGUCUUGAACUCGGUCAAAACACUGCAGUAUGAAGGGUGAUAAUGAGUAAGCCUACGUUCAGUCGUUUUUUGAAAGCGACCACGCUGAGAUUGCUCCGUGAGCGACCGCUUCUGUGUGCAGCUGGCCUGGUGAUCGCUACGGGUUCGGCAGUCUACUUUUAUAACAAAUAUUACGGCGUCGGUGAGGAUGAACCGGCCACCGUGGAGACCGUGGACCGUGUUGUCACGGUUGAGGAGGGUACAUUUACAGAUUUUACAAUGUCUAAAUAACAAUACUGACUGUAUAAACGUGUAGAACAAAAGGAGGAAGGGAAGCGCUGCUAAGGUGCACAAUAGUAGGUUUUGGUAGACAGAAGGUGCUCUUUGGUAAAAGGGGUAAAUUGGCCAUCAAAAAGAAAGGAGGACCAAGGCACUCUUCAUAUAAUUAAUUAAAAUGCCUUUAUUUGUACGGAAUGUUCAAUGGAAAGUUUUUAAACAUGGUUUCCAUUGAACAUGCCAUACAAAUGAAGGCAUUUUAAUGAAUGAUAUGAAGAGUUCUGUGGUCCUCCUUACUUUUUGACAUACUGUAUAUAGUCCGGACUGAAACUAUUUUCAGGCGUCGUCUAAAAUGGCACCCUAUACCCUAUUUUUUUUUUUUUACCAGGGCCCAUAGUUAUAUGGUUAAAAGGCUCUGGUUAAUAGUAGUGCACUAAAUAGGGAAUAGGGAAUUUAGGACUCAUUUGAUUACAUGAUGAUGGCUAAUAAUUCCACUAUUAACAACAACAAACCAACAUGCUCCUCUGAGACCAAACCUUUCCUUGAGGUUUAGUUGAACAUAUUGGUACAUUAUGCAGACACGUAAAUACAAUGUGAUAUCAUACAAUAUAAACACAAUUCAAUUAUAAGAUCAGCCUAACUACAUGGACAGAUGUUUGGUGUCUUGUAGUAUUUCUUCAACUUAGAGAAAAUAAUCCUUUAUUGUUUAUUCAUAAAGAUCAUGAUCCCACCCUGGACCAGGAGGACCCAGUCCUUGUUCAGUUUGUGGAUGAGGAGGUUGGGCAGCGGCCCUGUCUGGCUUUAGUCCCUUGGUCUGGACCUCUGUGGGUUCCCAGCUCUCUGACUUAUUACCUUACCCUUGCUGGGAGGAUGUUAGUGAGAGAGCGGGCAGUGUUAAACACACAGAUUUUCAUGAUGGAUCAGCCUGUUCUCAUCUGUUUCACUCCUGUUGGGAGGAUGGUGUGGGAGGAACUGUCUUCUCAAACUGAACAGCCAAAUAGUGAAGACUCUGGUUUUCCCUAUGAGAAGAUGCAGCUGGUUGGGAACUGGGGUUCAUUUCAUUUCCAUACCUGGAUAAUCCGUUAUGGACGAGUGCAGCAAAAUGAAGAGGACAUGCAUCACCUGUGCAUUGUGAGGGGAGUGGAGAAACAGCUGUGGUGGAGCAGAGUCAUUCAGGAAAAAAUCCUGGACCCAUGGGGUAUUGUCCAGGUGGUCCUCACCAACAAGGAGGUGACUGGUAUUAAGUUCCUUGGUAGAAGGAUCCAUGGACUCAGGUCUUGCCUCGUCAAGAGGAGGUUAGAGUUCACCUAUUAUGAGGACGCCCAGCAGGUGGAUAUCUCCACCACAGUGGAGGGGUUCCAGGAGAGGGGGGAUGACAUGAUGGCGUAUCAGUUCUCUACCUCUGACAUUAUCACCAUCCCUCAUGAGCCGUCCUCUGGCUCCUCUCACCAGUUCCCCCAGGAUUCUCCACCUCCCCCUCCGCCUCCCCCAUUCCCUUCCGAUUCCCCUCCACCUUACCACUUCACCCAGGACCAGGCCCAGGACCAGACCCCUGACAGCACUCCUCAGGAGUUUGUGGAGGAGCAACAUAAUGUUGCAGAUGUGCCCCAGCUGUGGAGUUACUUUGGAAACCAAGGGACAACCAACUUCUCUCUGAGGCUGGCCUCUAUCCGAUGUGCUAUGGAGGCUCUGACAUCCUCAGACAGUACCUCCCUUAAUUACCUCACCCACGCUGGGAGGAUGGUGUUGAGUGGACUGUCCAAGCUCAACCAGCAGGAUGUGAGGCAGUUUCAGCAGGCCUAUGACAUCCUGGUGAACUUCAUUAAUGAGCCAGCAAACAGGGAGCGACUAGAGCUGGAGAUGGCUCUUGUAGGAAUCAACCACAUCAACUUCACGGAUGUAUUUUAUGAAUUCGUUCUACUAAGCCUUCUAGAAGGAAAAACAUCUCUUCCAACAUCUGUAAGUGGCCCUAAUAAUGUAAACAUCUUGUUGUUUAUCUACCCUAUCCACACUGUAGCCAUACCAGGUCUGUAGACACUCACUCAUGUCCCCUGUUCCUUCUCCAGAGGCCUGGUACCUUCUUUUAUCUGCUCAUUGAAGUGAUAAUGACGAUUCACCCUCCUGGAGGAGCCUGGACAGAGUCUGCUGGGAACUUCUACCUCCUCCUUAAGGAUCAGAUGAAGGCGUGGUUGGACUCCAUCUUCAACCUCGAUGAGUCCAUCUAUGAAAGCCCACAGAGGCUCUCGUGGCAGGUGAUGGUGAAUCUAGAAAUGCAGGUUGACUUCCUCCUGUCCAGCCUGGAUUAAGGGUCCCAAACUGAGCUGAGGAUCCCAAACACAAAAUAAAGUAUUUUGUAUUUAAACAUUACCUGUCAAUCUGAAACUAAU
rnacentral:lncRNA from 1 species